UACACUUAUUUAGUUUCAGAGUCCUAUGGAG
rnacentral:piRNA from 1 species